GGAAUGUAUCGUCGUAGACUUAACUUUCAAAGAUGCAACGAAGUUUUUUAUUUCAUUUAUCAAUAUUUUUGAUCCAUUAUUCUUUUAAUUAUAUGACGUGUGAAUUUGAUCGUAUUAAGAUCAUAGGAUAAUUUUUGACUUCAAAUUCGUAAUCAGCGACCUCGAAAACCCCCGAGUAAGGAUUUUAGUCAAAUUUAACGUCGUUUUGAGGUUUUGGCCACGAUUUGGGGAUUUGGUCCCAGUGUGCGACGUCUUGAAAGAUGAUGUACCAUUCGGUGGAAAGAUUUUGAUAACGGGUGGUGAUUUCAGACAACUACUACCAAUAAAAGUAAGAGGUACACGCAGUGAAACAGUCAACUUAUCGAUUAAAUAUAGUAAUCUAUGGAAAUUCUUUGAACAGUUCAAAUGAAAGCAAAACAUGAGAACUUUAUCUAAUGAAGUUGAAUUUUCAAAACUUUUUAAUAGACCUUGGUGAUGGAAAAUUGAAUGACAU
rnacentral:misc_RNA from 1 species